rnacentral:rRNA from 1 species
CACGUAGGAGGCAAACGUUAUCCGGAUUUACUGGGCGUAAAGCGCGUGUAGGUGGUUCUGUAAGUAGGGCGUGAAAGCUCCCGGCUCAACUUGGAGAGGCCGUUCUAAACUGCAGAGCUAGAGGAUGGUAGAGGGAGGUGGAAUUCCAGGUGUAGCGGUGGAAUGCGCAGAUAUCUGGAGGGACACCAGUGGCGAAGGCGGCCUCCUGGACCAUUCCUGACACUCAGACGCGAAAGCUAGGGUAGCAAACGGGAUUAGAUACCCGGGUAGGUCCCUGA